rnacentral:rRNA from 1 species
AGCGGCGGACGGGUGAGUAACGCGUGGGUAACCUGCCUUACACAGGGGGAUAACAGUUAGAAAUGACUGCUAAUACCGCAUAAGACCCCGGUACCGCAUGGUACAGAGGUUAAAAACUGAGGUGGUGUAAGAUGGACCCGCGUCUGAUUAGGUAGUUGGUGAGGUAACGGCUCACCAAGCCGACGAUCAGUAGCCGGCCUGAGAGGGUGGACGGCCACAUUGGGACUGAGACACGGCCCAGACUCCUACGGAAGGCAGCAG